AUCCUUUUGUACUUCAUUACUGUGAUGAUUGAGUGUUCAUACUGUUGUGACAUGUACCUCCCUUAAACUGUUACAACCUUGGCACACGACCCGCCUAAGA